rnacentral:rRNA from 1 species
GAUGAACGCUAGCGGCAGGCCUAAUACAUGCAAGUCGGACGGGAUUUGGGAGCUUGCUCCUAAUGAGAGUGGCGCACGGGUGCGUAACACGUAUGUAACCUACCUUAAUCAGGGGGAUAGCCUCUCGAAAGAGAGAUUAACACCGCAUAAUAUAUUUUUAUGGCAUCGUAGAAAUAUCAAAUAUUUAUAGGAUUAAGAUGGGCAUGCGGAACAUUAGCUAGUUGGUAAGGUAACGGCUUACCAAGGCUACGAUGUUUAGGGGAUCUGAGAGGAUGACCCCCCACACUGGUACUGAGACACGGACCAGACUCCUACGGGAGGCAGCAGUAAGGAAUAUUGGUCAAUGGGCGCAAGCCUGAACCAGCCAUGCCGCGUGCAGGAAGACGGCCCUAUGGGUUGUAAACUGCUUUUGUACCGGAGUAAACCCUUUUACGUGUAAGAGGCUGAAUGUACGGUAAGAAUAUGGAUCGGCUAACUCCGUGCCAGCCGCCGCCGUAA